CAGCCGUAAACUAUGCGCGUUAGGUGUACUGGUGACCACGAGUCACCGGGUGCCGAAGGGAAACCGUGAAACGUGCCGCCUGGGAAGUACGGUCGCAAGGCUGAAACUUAAAGGAAUUGGCGGGGGAGCACCACAACGGGUGGAGUCUGCGGUUUAAUUGGACUCAACGCCGGAAAUCUCACCGGAUAGGACAGACAUAUGAUAGUCGGGCUGAAGACUCUACUUGAUGAUCUGAGAGGUGGUGCAUGGCGUCAGUGACU
rnacentral:rRNA from 1 species